GAUGAACGCUGGCGGCGUGCCUAAUACAUGCAAGUCGAGCGAACGGACGAGAAACUUGCUUCUCUGAUGUUAGCGGCGGACGGGUGAGUAACACGUGGAUAACCUACCUAUAAGACUGGGAUAACUUCGGGAAUCCGGAGCUAAUACCGGAUAAUAUUUUGAACCGCAUGGUUCAAAAGUGAAAGACGGUCUUGCUGUCACUUAUAGAUGGAUCCGCGCUGCAUUAGCUAGUUGGUAAGGUAACGGCUUACCAAGGCAACGAUGCAUAGCCGACCUGAGAGGGUGAUCGGCCACACUGGAACUGAGACACGGUCCAGACUCCUACGGGAGGCAGCAGUAGGGAAUCUUCCGCAAUGGGCGAAAGCCUGACGGAGCAACGCCGCGUGAGUGAUGAAGGUCUUCGGAUCGUAAAACUCUGUUAUUAGGGAAGAACAUAUGUGUAAGUAACUGUGCACAUCUUGACGGUACCUAAUCAGAAAGCCACGGCUAACUACGUG
rnacentral:rRNA from 1 species